CCACGAGAUCCAUUACCGGACCUGUUCUUCUUGAGUAGCAGCAGCGAUACGAGGAGGACGAGAAUGGAGAAGAGGAAGGAGGUGCUGGUGAGAUCCAUGGUUUAAUUAGUUUUCUGGUGAUGAGGCACCACAGGCCCGUCCACCCUUCUUAUACACAUGACAGUUACGAGUUUCGCAUGCAGCUUCCCGGUUGUUGAGUACUGACAGACGAUACCAUAUCAUCUGGGUCAAAGUCUCGAUAGUACAACAAACAAAAUAAUGG
rnacentral:lncRNA from 1 species